rnacentral:rRNA from 1 species
AUCGAACGCUGGCGGCAUGCCUAACACAUGCAAGUCGAGCGAGCGACGGGCGGGUGAGUAAUGUAUGGGGACUGCCCGAUAGAGGGGGAUAACUACUGGAAACGGUAGCUAAUCCCGCAUACUAUCGGCUAACGCAUACGGGAUUAGCUAGUGGGUGAGGGAAUGGCUCACCUAGGCGACGAUCCCUAGCUGGUCUGAGAGGAUGAUCCGCCACACUGGGACUGAGACACGGCCCAGAAUCCUACGGAGGCAGCAGUGGGGAAGAUUGCACAAUGGGCGCAAGCCUGAUGGAGCCAUGCCGCGUGUAUGAAGAAGGCCCUAGGGUUGUAAAGUACUGUCAGUCGGGAGGCGUUACCGACAGAAGAAGCACCGGCUAACUCCGUGCCAGCAGCCGCGGUAAUUC